UACGUAGGGUCCGAGCGUUGUUCGGAAUUACUGGGCGUAAAGGGCUCGUAGGCGGCCAACUAAGUCAGACGUGAAAUCCCUCGGCUUAACCGGGGAACUGCGUCUGAUACUGGAUGGCUUGAAUCCGGGAGAGGGAUGCGGAAUUCCAGGUGUAGCGGCGAAAUGCGUAGAUAUCUGGAGGAACACCGGUGGCGAAGGCGGCAUCCUGGACCGGCAUUGACGCUGAGGAGCGAAAGCCAGGGGAGCAAACGGGG
rnacentral:rRNA from 1 species